rnacentral:tRNA from 1 species
GCCCGUCUAAGCUCAGUCGGUAGAGCGCAAGGCUCUUAACCUUGUGGUCCUGGGUUCAAGUCCCAGGGUGGGCG